ACUUAAAUAAUUUAAAAAUUAAAAUAGUGACUUGUGGUGUCAAAUAUAUGAAAAAUUCAUUUUAAGUC
rnacentral:tRNA from 1 species